AACAAGACCCCAAAGUAAGUCGAGUAUAAAUGAAUAAAUAAAUAAAUAAGUUUUUUUGUUUUCGACGAACUUAAUUUUUUUUUAAAAAUAGAAUCAAAAUAAAAUCGAAUCGACAAGUGUUUUUUUUUAAAUAAGUUGAAUUAAAUAGGGGAUACAAAAAUGGUUAAGUUAAAUAAAGUAGUUACUAAAAAGAAAAAAAA
rnacentral:lncRNA from 1 species